rnacentral:rRNA from 1 species
GAUGAACGCUGGCGGCGUGCCUAAUACAUGCAAGUCGAGCGAACAGACGAGGAGCUUGCUCCUCUGACGUUAGCGGCGGACGGGUGAGUAACACGUGGAUAACCUACCUAUAAGACUGGGAUAACUUCGGGAAACCGGAGCUAAUACCGGAUAAUAUAUUGAACCGCAUGGUUCAAUAGUGAAAGACGGUUUUGCUGUCACUUAUAGAUGGAUCCGCGCCGCAUUAGCUAGUUGGUAAGGUAACAGCUUACCAAGGCAACGAUGCGUAGCCGACCUGAGAGGGUGAUCGGCCACACUGGAACUGAGACACGGUCCAGACUCCUACGGGAGGCAGCAGUAGGGAAUCUUCCGCAAUGGGCGAAAGCCUGACGGAGCAACGCCGCGUGAGUGAUGAAGGUCUUCGUAUCGUAAAACUCUGUUAUUAGGGAAGAUCAAAUGUGUAAGUAACUAUGCACGUCUUGACGGUACCUAAUCAGAAAGCCACGGCUAACUACGUG